UACAGAGGUGCCGAGCGUUAGGCGGAAUCACUGGGCUUAAAGCGUGUGUAGGCGGACUUCUAAGUACCUUGUGAAAUCCCACGGCUCACCCGUGGAACUGCUGGGUAUACUGGUCGUCUUGAGCCACCUAGGGGCGAGCGGAACAAAUGGUGGAGCGGUGAAAUGCGUAGAUAUCAUUUGGAACGCCAACGGUGAAAACAGCUCGCUGGGGGUGUGCUGACGCUGGAGGCGCGACAGCGUGGGGAGCAAACAGG
rnacentral:rRNA from 1 species